rnacentral:rRNA from 1 species
GACGAACGCUGGCGGCGUGCCUAAUACAUGCAAGUAGAACGCUGAAGAGAGGAGCUUGCUCUUCUUGGAUGAGUUGCGAACGGGUGAGUAACGCGUAGGUAACCUGCCUUGUAGCGGGGGAUAACUAUUGGAAACGAUAGCUAAUACCGCAUAACAAUGGAUGACACAUGUCAUUUAUUUGAAAGGGGCAAUUGCUCCACUACAAGAUGGACCUGCGUUGUAUUAGCUAGUAGGUGAGGUAAUGGCUCACCUAGGCGACGAUACAUUGCCGACCUGAGAGGGUGAUCGGCCACACUGGGACUGAGACACGGCCCAGACUCCUACGGGAGGCAGCAGUAGGGAAUCUUCGGCAAUGGGGGCAACACUGACCGAGCAACGCCGCGUGAGUGAAGAAGGUUUUCGGAUCGUAAAGCUCUGUUGUAAGUCAAGAACGGGUGUGAGAGUGGAAAGUUCACACUGUGACGGUAGCUUACCAGAAAGGGACGGCUAACUACGUG